rnacentral:rRNA from 1 species
GUCCACGCCCUAAACGAUGCAUAUUUGGUGUGGGCAGUUCAUUCUGUCUGUGCCGGAGCUAACGCGUUAAAUAUGCCGCCUGGGGAGUACAGUCGCAAGGCUGAAACUCAAAGGAAUUGACGGGGGCCCCGCACAAGCGGUGGAGCAUGUGGUUCAAUUCGACGCAACGCGAAGAACCUUACCUGGGCUCGAACGGCUUCUCAACGCCGGUGGAAACACUGGUACCCCGCAAGGGGGUGGAGUCGAGGUGCUGCAUGGCUGUCGU